rnacentral:rRNA from 1 species
UACGUAGGGAGCAAGCGUUGUUCGGAUUUACUGGGCGUAAAGAGCGCGCAGGCGGCUGGGCAAGUCCGAUGUGAAAGCUUCCGGCUUAACUGGAAAAUUGCAUCGGAAACUGCUCGGCUUGAAGGUGGGAGAGGGUAGCGGAAUUCCCGGUGUAGUGGUGAAAUGCGUAGAUAUCGGGAGGAACACCAGUGGCGAAGGCGGCUACCUGGCCCACUCUUGACGCUGAGGCGCGAAAGCUAGGGGAGCAAACGGG